rnacentral:rRNA from 1 species
GACGAACGCUGGCGGCGUGCUUAACACAUGCAAGUCGAACGGUGAACCUCUUCGUAGGUGCUCAGUGGCGAACGGGUGAGUAACACGUGGGCAACCUUCCCCCGCCUCUGGGAUAACUCUAAGAAAUUGGGGCUAAUACCGGAUGUUCACCGCUUCCCGCAUUGGUGGUGGUGGAAAGGGUUUCUGGCUGGGGAUGGGCCCGCGGCAUAUCAGCUUGUUGGUGGGGUGGUGGCGUACCAAGGCCACGACGGGUAGCCGGCCUGGGAGGGUGACCGGCCCCACUGGGACUGGGGCACGGGCCAGACUCCAUCGGGAGGCAACGGUGGGGGAUAGUGCGCGAUGGGCGGGAGCCUUGCGGAACGACGCCGGGUCGGGGAUGACGGCCUUCGGGUUGUAAACCUCUUUCAGCAGGGACGAAGCGCAAGUGACGGUACCUGCAGAAGAAGCACCGGCCAACUACGUG